UUUCCAAACGUUUUAAUAGGCACUCGCGUACUAUUGUACAACAAAAUAUUGUAAGACGUUUCAAAUGCCGAAUUUUGCCAACCUCAUUACUUCGUGAGGUUAUGCAAGGUUUAGGUCAUAUAUUUAAAAGUAAUCAACUAGGUUUUGUUGUAAAAUGGUAUUAGAGUUACUAGAAUUGGCAUAUGCGGUGGCAACAUCAUGUUAACACACGACUUUUCAUCCUCUGAAGUAUUUAGUGGUUGCUUGUUGCUUUUCCCAGUGCUUGUGUAGGUAGUAGAAAACAAAAACAAACCAGCUCGCCCAUGUAUAUGUGUCAGUAUUUAUUUUCAAUGUUCAAGCGUCGCGCCAACUAAGUUUUGCUAAAAUCACAUUUCUGCCUUGAAAAUAAGUACAAUAUUGAAUGGAUUACAAAAUACUGCAAAGGUAGGAGAAGGGGGAGUUGGUUCACUGAAUCAAAAUGUAGUCACAACUGAUACCAAAUGUUGAUAUACAUUUUGGUUCAACUCAAAGGAUGAUUAUCGCUGUGUUAUGUCACUCGUUCUAUUUUAAUUUCAUGCGAUGAUGUGAGCUUAUUCAAUCAAACGAGUGAAGCUUGAUUUUGUCAUUAUAUGCCAAUACUUGAUAUUUGGGUUUUGAAGUGAUAAGUAAUUAACAAGUCUAACGGGAGAUAUGAAUUGACAAACGAGAGGAAAAUGGCUUGUUUGUUAGUUACAUUUGUAUAAUACUGUUGGCCUUCUAUCUAAAUCCUCUCUUCUCUAACUGGUUCUUUGAACAAGACUUGCAUGCUUUGUAAUAAUAUACAUUCUACUAAGCCUUACUUAAGGCCAAUCAAACUGCAAUGCAUACUUUUGCAUCAUUUAUUUUAUUUUUGCAAUUAGUACGUUAUUAAUUGCAAAUUUGUGCUUCGAACCUUGAAAAUUACUUUAUAUUUUCAUGGUUCAAAUUUUGAAUUUUGAUAUCAGUGAUUAUUGCCGGAUAGCAAUUACUCUGUUGCUAUUCACAAUUUUCAUUGGUAUUUUUAAGUGAAGUGCGUCGCGAAAGUGAUUGAGUGCUCCAGUUUUGCAACUAUGCUUUUUAUUUGAUUCAUGACAGUUUCAUGAUCAGAUAAAAUAAAAAUAUUUGCUGCUAUGAUGAGUGUUUUUUUUUUUAAUAAGUUUCCAUCAUUUUGGAAACUUGUUUACUAUCUUUUCUUUAUCGCAUCCAAUUGGUUGAGAUAAAAACGUGAAUUUAAGUGAAGUGAAGUGUUUCCUCGGAAUUUUUCCUGAAUUGAAGUUUCGUUUUUCAAAUUCAAUUGAGUUUGAGAAAUAAUUUUGUUUCAAUUUAGAUAUAAUAUUUACAAAUUGCCUUGUAAGUGACUUUACUUGCUUUACUUUAUCAGCAAGUUCUAUAAAUUCCUUGCCUACCUUUACUUUUGGGUAGCGUUGGAGAAAAAAGAAAUUCUGUUUAUUAUUAACUAUUGUAUACUUUUAUCUCCAGAGCAGGUAACCUACGAGAAACAGCGUAAGGAACGUAUUGCUAAUGUUUUGUUGUUUUCCGAAUAAUUUUUAUAACACAGUCUUGCUGUUUUCGCAGUGACGCUUCGAGUACUUCAUAUACAUUUCCGCGUCCUGCCACGGGUCACUACCAGUUUGUUUUGUAUAAAUGAUGUGAAUAUAAUAAUUUUCCAAUUUAUAAUAUAAA